CCUACGGGGAGCAGCAGUGGGGAAUAUUGGGCAAUGGGCGCAAGCCUGACCCAGCAACGCCGCGUGCAGGAAGAAGGCUUUCGGGUUGUAAACUUCUUUUCUCAGGGACGAAGACAGUGACGGUACCUGAGGAAUAAGCCACCGCUAACUACGUGCCAGCAGCCGCGGUAAUACGGAGGUGGCAAGAGUUAUCCGGAUUUAUUGGGUGUAAAGGGCGUGUAGGCGGGAGCGUAAGUUAGAUGUGAAAACUAAGGGCUUAACCCUGGGCCUGCAUUUGACACUGUGGUUCUUGAGUGCUGGUGAGGCAAUCGGAAUGCCGUGUGUAGCGGUGAAAUGCGUAGAUAUACGGAGGAACACCAGUGGCGAAGGCGGAUUGCUGGACAGUAACUGACGCUGAGGCGCGAAAGCGUGGGGAGCAAACAGGAUUAGAUACCCUGGUAGUC
rnacentral:rRNA from 1 species